AUGGCCGGUGGUUUGGAUUGGAACGUUGCCGCGGUAAUAACCAUUGUUGGCUGGCUGGUGUCGCCCAUCAUCGGCUUUCUCCUGCCCAAGAUCCUCUCCAGGAUUGGGUUUGAGGUGGGCUUGGAGCAGAAGAUCCAGCAUGACCUAGAGUACCGCAUCAUCCCGGAUCUGGAGAAGACGCUGCACGCUGUAGAUACGGAGAGGCUGAUGAAGAGACGGGAAAAAGCGAUGUCCGUUGUGGACAAGCUGGACAAGAUGGCCGCUGGGCUGAGGGAAGCUCGAGAUGAUGCGGAUGACAUCCUCGAUGAUGCUCCGCACAAGAUCGUCGUGGGCGACAUCCUCUACUGGCGGUGCCUGGGGAUUGCACGCAUUAUCCAGAAAGGAUCGGCUCGCCUGCAGAGCCUUUUGUGCCGGUUCCUAGGCAGGCCUGAUCUGGAGACGCUGAAGGCCGACCUGAAGAAGAUUUCAUCGGAGCUGCACGCGCUGCUGACCGACGACGACGAGGCUUUCUACCGACUGAGCCAGGUAGACAGGAUGAGGAUGAUACCAAAGACCUUGCGGGGCAACAUGAUGAAAAUGAUACCGCAGCUCGUGAGGCUGCGGCCAGAAGAGACCGCAGCUAUGGAAUGUGGUUUUCUUAACAUGAUGAAUGCAUGGCUGGUUCCAGCCCAGGAGGAAGAGGACGGCAUCGAUGUUGCUCAGGAGGAAGGGGAAGGCAUCGAUGAUGCUCAGCCGGAGGAGGAAGGCAUCGAGGAGGAAGACAUCGAUGAUGCUCAAUUGGAAGAGGAAGACAUCGAUGGUGCUCAGUUGGAAGAGGAAGACAUCUAUGAUGCUCAAGAGGAAGGGGAAGGCAUCGAUGAUGCUCAGUUGGAAGAGGAAGACACCUGUGAUGCUCAGAAGGAAGGGGAAGACAUCGAUGAUGCUCAGUUGGAAGAGGAAGACAUCUAUGAUGCUNNNNNNNNNNNNNNNNNNNNNNNNNNNNNNNNNNNNNNNNNNNNNNNNAUCGAUGAUGCUCAUGUGGAGGAGGAAGAGAUCGAUGAUGCUCAUGUGGAGGAGGAAGAGGUCGAUCAUGCCCAUGUGGAUGAGGAAGACAUCCAUGAUGCUCAGCCGGAGGAAUGGGAAGGCAUCGAUGAUGCUCAGCCGGAGGAAGGGGAAGGCAUCGAUGAUGCUCAGGAGGAAGGGGAAGGCAUCGAUGGUGCUCGGGCGGAAGACAAUGUUGAUGAUUACACCAAUUGUUUUGAUAAGAUGGUCGAAUUGCUGAGGCGAGCUGAGGAGGAAGACAUCCACGAUGCUCAGCACGACAUCGGGUCCCACGCCAGCAGCUGGCCGCAUCAUCUGUACGGUGCCGUGGAGGCCUGCAUAGCUCGCCGCAAAAGGAGCUGCAUAGGGAUUGCCCGGAGCAGGUCGUCGUCUCGGCUACUGCAGUGGGCACAGAAUUUUUCUCGAUGGUUCCUACGCAGGUCAGAGUACGGUGCACUACCGACAACGACUAUGGAUACUGCAGCACCCUCGGAUUCCUUGGGCAUAUUCAAGACUUGUUGUAUACCACUGUUCCACUUGUUAGUUCAUGUGUAUGAGGUUGCCUGCACUCAUCGAGAUCGGUCCUAUCGUCAGGUGUUUGGCAUCACAAGUAAUUACCAGGAGCAUGCCAACCUGUUAGAUUUUGUCCUUACUGCAAUCUCAAGGCGGAACUUGAGCAAAAGAAAACAGAGAGUAGAAAGAAGCAUCAGUGAAGUGAACGCGUCACCACUGUUAGUUGGGGCAAGCAAGAGCACACUGGAACAGAUUGCCAAUAAGAAUAGGAGUGGAAUUAGAACUGCUACCAAGCGCAAGGUAUUUGGUCUAGAGGACUUGCGUGAUGAUAUAAUAGGAAGGCUCCGUGAGACACCAAACUCGACUAGUACCAGUUCAUGUUACUCUGUGAUUGGCAUAUAUGGUGUUGCAGGGUCUGGGAAGACUACCCUUGCACGAUAUAUUCGAGAUUGCAUAAAGUGCACGGAACUUUUUGACACCAUCAUGUGCCUUCACGUGUCCGAAGCUUUCAGCGUGGAUGCUAUAUUUAAUGAAAUGCUGAAGGAUAUUACCAAAAAUCGGCACUCCUAUAUUUCAGAUCGUGAGGAGCUGGAAGAGAAGCUGAAGAAAUCAUUGCGUGGCAAACGUUUCUUCUUGAUAUUGGAUGAUCUCUGGGUGAAGAACAAGAAUGACCCACAGCUGGUAGAAGUAAUCUCUCCGCUCAGUGUUGGGAUGAAAGGAAGCAAAAUCCUGGUGACGGCUCGAACAAAAGAUGCAGCCAGAGCUCUGUGUGCUGAUGAGCCUAUUAAAAUGCCUGAUUUGGAUGAGGAACAAUACUUUGAGAUGUUUAUGCAUUAUGCAUUGGGUGGAAAAAGUGUUGAUGUUAAAAAAUUUGAACCAGUUGGAAGAGAGAUUGCAAAUAAGCUCCGCCGAUCACCUAUCGCAGCAGCAAUAGUGGCGGGACAGCUUGGGACAAACCCAAGUAUUUUGUUUUGGGAAAAUACUUUAGAGCUUGACAUGUUGAAUGAUACCAUGGAUGCACUUUGGUGGAGCUAUCAGCAGCUUAACCAGGACAUCAGGCGAUGCUUAGAGUACUGCAAUAUUUUCCCCAACAGAUUUAAAAUGGAAAAAAACAUCUUAGUUCACCUCUGGAUAGCGGAAGGGUUGGUGACCGGUUCUGCAAGAGAGGACAUGGAACGUGUAGCUGAGGACUACAUUCAAGGGUUAGUGUCACAUUCCUUUCUGGAAGCAGAAGGAACAGAUUUGUUUUCAGUUCAUGAUCUGUUGCGUGAUUUACUAGACAAGGUUGCUGGAUGUGAUUACUAUAAAAUAUUAAAUGCAAGGAGCCAGAGCGGAGAAAGCUGCAAUGGAGUUGUCAAUCCAGAUGUUCGUCAUCUUUUUGUUCAGAGUUAUGAUGCAGAAUUGAUUACCAAGAAGAUCCUUGGGUUGGAGAAUUUACGCACUCUCAUUAUUGAUUUUGCUGGAAGUGAUGUCGAGGAAAAACUCAUUGAGAGUUUAUGCAAGAGGCUGUCAAAAUUAAGGGUGCUGGCCAUUGCCUUGAGUAAUCGAGACCAUGGUGUAAUCAACUACACCAAGAAGUUCUUGUUCCCAGAAUCUAUUAGACAGUUGAAGCACCUACGCUAUCUUGCCUUCAGAACACUGCACAUGGGGAUGGUCGUUUUACCGAGUGCACUAACUAAGCUAGACCAUAUCCAACUGCUAGAUUUUGGUGACAAUGUAAUUGAAUUUCCUUCUACUGGUGUUAUCAAGUUGCGGCACAUAAUCUGCAGGUAUGACGCGAAAGUUCCUAACAUAGGCAGGUUCAAAUCACUCCAAACAUUGCAAAACUUCCAAGUGAGGAAUGAAGAAGGUUAUGAGGUAAAGCAGCUGAUGGACCUAGACAAGCUUUGCGGUAGUUUGGCGAUCCAUGGCCUUGAAAAUGUAAAAAGCAAAAGGGAAGCUCUUGAAGCCAAUCUAGCUACCAAGAAAUGGCUCAAGGAACUGAAACUAUUUUGGACUGGUGGUUGUACGAGGCGCAGUCCAGAAGUUGAAGAAGAGGUACUUGAGGGCUUGUGCACUUCCGUUGAGCUUGAACGACUUGAGAUAUUUGGAUAUGAAGGCUCAAAGUACCCUGAUUGGAUGGUGGUGAGUAACCAGAGAGGUGACCAAAAGAAACUGCAACGACUAAUGUUCGUGGGAUGCAGCAAUCCAGUAUCAGCUGGUCCUCCUGCACUUGAGGCUUUCCCUCGUCUCCGUUCUUUAUUUAUCUUGCAUUGCAGCUGGGACUCCUUACCAGGCAAUUUGGAGCACCUCACAUCACUCAAGACACUGCUUAUCUUGAACUGCAAAAAUUUAUUGUCGCUCCCAACACUUCCUCAGCAUCUUGAGGAGAUUAUUAUUGAACUAUGCGAUGAGGGGUUCAUGGAGUCUUGUGUGACAGUGGGACAUCCAAACUGGCAAAAGAUUCAGCACAUCCCCAAUAUACACAUCCCCAAUUAA
rnacentral:rRNA from 1 species